GGCAAAUGGCGGCGGGGGUAAAUGGCGGCUGUGAGGCUCUUUGCCGUGCUGAGAGCUGCCGCUGCCGCCGCCCCCCCUCAGGCUCGGCCUUGUAACCCCAGCGUGGGGACUGUCCUCACCCCGUCCUGCCUCCCUGCUCACCCCCGAGGCGCUCGGGGCUCCCCAAUCAUGUGGGCCUCGAGUGCUCCCGGCCGUCGCCUGGAUCAUGGCGGUGCCCCUCUCUACUGCAUGCUCAGCCUCAAACACAGGGUGCCCCGGGGCCGCAGACCCUCCGGGGCCCGGCUCCCUUGCGGCGUGGCAAUCCCACUAAGUACAUCGUCCUCUUUUUAACGCGUUUGCGGGUGCUGUCAGCGUGGGGCCCGGCCGUUCCCCGUUGCCUUGCACCGGGCGCGCGCGCCUCACCGGUGGCGGUUUGCAGAGGGACGCGACGCCUUGCUGGAGGUUUGCUGCCGGCACGACCCAGCAAGAGGUCGGCGGGCGCCGGAGCGAGCCCUCGCGCCGCUCCGUGCCUCGGUUUCCCCAUCAGAAACGACAGCCCGCCCGGAGGAACCAGUGACGUUUUGGGCGCGAAGGACGAGCUUGGGAGCGGCAGGAGGAAGCGAUGGAGUGCUGAUCAGCCAUUCACUGAAAUCCAGGAGUCUGCACAGAAAUCCUCCUCGCACUGCUCUUCCCAGCCUCUCGUCAUUCCAAUUAGGAGCGUGUUUAAGAUAUUUCAAUAAUCUCCCAUUCAGCUACAUGUAUGAGAAAAUGCAUUCACUCAGCACAAUAAUGCAAUUGUCCCUUUCCUGUGAGAUGGCAAAAGACAGACAGAUCGGGCAGGGGAAAACAAAAAAUCGAGUAGCAAACAUGCCCGAAAGAGCCCCUCUGCGUCCGCCGACCUCCGAGGACAGAGCUAACAAAGCAGGCUGUGUGGGACGCGAAACCGCAUCACUUCACCAGCGAGAGAAAUAUGUAGAUUUGGGUUAACUCCUUUUCAAAUUGGCAAAGAAAACAGAGCCGGAGUGGACUCAUUUUCUUCUGACUUUCCCUAGUGUAAAUCAGGAGCAACCACGCUCGGACAACUCAUUUCAGUGCAGUCCCCAUCCUCCUCAUCACUGGGGGAGAGCGGAAGUUUCCUGGCUGACGCUGGGGACGCCAACGGGGUGAUGUCGGCUGGCAGCCCGGCAGCGUGGCACGACAAGUAUCACGAGGAGAAGGUGGCUCUGCAACUCAAAGAAGCUGGUGUAUGAUAUGACAACUGCCAGAAGGUGACAUAAAAUUGAAGACAACCAGGGUGAAGAAGAGAAAACCUAGUUCUUCUAUGGAGGUCAGCAACUUUGCAGGAAAGAAAGAGAAAUAGCUGCCUGCUAGCGCUCCUGAGCAGUGCCUGCGAGGGCACCGCUGGUGCUUGCUGCUGGCCCAGGGAGCCCCCAGCACUGCGCAGUUUCUCUCCUCUGCCCUUCCAGAGGUUCCCUCUGCUCCAGGCCCAAAAAGCAGAAGACCCUACGGCUUGUUCAUGUGUGGGGGCUUUGGGAAACUUACGGGAAGGGAGUUUGUGUUGUGUAGACAUCAGGGAGUUCCUCUCCUGUGCAUCUGGCAGAAGCCCCAGCAAUGACAGGUUUAAGCCAGGUUUUAUUCAGGUAUCUCCAUGGCAAUGAGUGAGGUCUUCCGCCGACAAACCAGUUACCAGUGUGGCCAAGGCUGUGAAACAGGCACUUGGCUAAGAGCUUUGCCUCAGUAAGGACCUUGGGAUUUGACCUUUAAUUUUGAAUGUGUGACUGUAUAAACAAGCCAUCACAUUUUGUCUGCAGCGUGCUUGUCACAAAAAUCACUCACACGAGAAGGACCUGGAGGUAUGCAGCAGGCAGAGACCAUUCUUGUAACACUGCAGCUUGGCAGUUGCCCUGGGGACAUGGGACUUCCUGACCCUGCCGCAGCGGUGGAGAAGUGAGAACCCUUCUGGGAGGGAAAGGGUUGAAAAGACCUCUCUGUCCCGCCGGGAGCUGGGCACCCGGGGCCGCCCGCCAUCGCUCCACUGGAGAGUCUUCGCCUGGGAUCUCCACGGGUUGGGGCUCUUGGAAAAACGCUCGGGAGACAAAUGUUGCUGCUGUUUAAGAAAGGGAUAUUAUUGCUUCUGGAGUGCAAUGCUAGUGCUGCCUUAGGUAAGAGCAGCUAUUGGUGUUCUGCCUAAUGCAAAUAGAUCUAUGGAGGCUUCUUACGAGUGAAAAGGCUGUUAGGAUUGGACAUUGCAUUGCUCUAGCACUGGAUCCCAAGGGGUUUGGUAUCCGUCGUCCACCGCUUAAAUACAGCAGCACCUUCAGGAGGAGGCAGCAAUUACUAAAUGAAUGCAGAGUAGCAUUUACAAUAUAUACAAGGCUGUUACCUCAGAUAUUAUUUACUGGAGGGUAUUGAUUUCCCCAUCUCUAGCAUGCUAGUUCCCAGGAAAGAAAGAGUUAAAAUCGUAACUGCAGCUCUCUGCACCUUGUUGUUGGGUCAGCAGUUUGCCUGAUAAAGGAGCCCUGACCUCCUCACCUGUAGAGGAAAGUCCAAAGAUACCUUCAGAAAUUAUCGGGACUGUUUGCCAGAAAGCAGAAGUGCAGGAAUCCACACAGGGAAGCAGCCUGGGGCAUGCAGGGCCAAAAAGACACUGUAACAUGGCGGAGGCCUCCGACUAUGAAAAAGAGUGUCUAGAUCUUGACUCAUAACUUUGCAAUGACCCUCAACCAUACGGUUGACUGGAAAGCCUCAAUACAUUUAGCAAAGGCAGAGGAGAACAUGGAUCUGAAACCCCAGCCACAAGAUGCCUCCUUUGAGUGCUCUGGACCAAAUCUUGCCGAAUCUAAGAUUUAGUGCCAUAGCUGCAAUGCUUCCUGCAGUCCCUCUGAUGGCAGAAAAAAUGACUUGCGUAUUACCUUUACUGUUAAAGGCUGGAUUUCCCAUGCAGGGUAAGUCCUCAUGCAAAAGCACAGAAAAUGUUUUAAAGAGGGAGCAGAAUGUGCUCAGAUUGUGAAGCAGCUGAUCUAAAGGCAGUGAGACCCUUAGGGAACCCUGGUCCACAAUAGUCGACAUUUGAGACAGGAAAUGAUGGUUUAUUUAACUAACUGAACUGAAAACUGCCAGGGAAUUUAAACAAGGGAAAUGGAAUUACUAACGGCAGCAUUUAGCUAAGUAAGACACGAAGGCUAAACCUCCUGUGAUCGUGGGAAAUAGUAUGAGAUAUUUAACAUCUGUAAGUGGUGGUGGCCUCUGCUUUUUGAUCCAUCUAAAAGACAGAUCAGGUGGGCAGGGGAUCACCAGGGGAGGGUUCCUGCUUCUCAUCAGCAUGGCUUCUUGCAGUUCUAGCGCUUCUCCAUAGCUUCCCUUCCAGCUCCGCAGACCUGCCUUGAAGUACCUUGGUUUCUAAGAUUCAGUGGCACAGUUCAAGCUUUUAUGGCACUGGGCUACUCUGCCCCUAAAUACGCAUGUUUUUUUCAAAUGCUUCAGUAAAAAUACUUUUGAACACAUUUGCUAAUUACAAAAGACAUUUCUAUUCAGAUGAUGGCUUUUCUUUUGGUGCUUUUCUUCACUCUUCUUAGCCACACGCAGUAAACUCUCAGAUCUGUCACCGGCUGUGGCAGGGAACAACACCUGGGAGUCUGACUUUGCUAGAGGAUCUGGCUGCAGAAACCAAGCUGAGAGGAGAAAGGCUCUGUAAGUCAGACAACAUCCGUAAGAGCCAAGGGAAUAGAGAGAAUGGCACAGCAUAAAAACAUUCAUUAUUUAUCAGUUGAUACCCAGGGAAAAAAAAACCUGUGCUGCCACUGCCUGGGAGCCUGUUCUUAGAAGUUAGGCACUGAAAUGGAGACAUGUAUGGCCUGAUGUCCCAGCCUGCCCUGCACGCUGUUGUAUUGUAACCAUCGCAGCUCAGGCUUCGGUACGGGCUGCAAAACCUAUGCAGGGACCCGGGAUGGCUUGCCCACGCUCAGCAGGUACCCGCCGUGCCGCGGAGUAGCGACCUUAGACUCUUUUUCCAGCCCGGUGUGGGGACAAAGUUUGAUGAACACCCAUCUGGCAGCGCUGCUGAAAGCCGUGGCCAUAGGGGAGCUAACGUGGUUUCUGUUAGGCUCGCCUCCAGCUGAACGGUUCCUGGUCGGCUUCACUGUGCGACUGCACAAAUCCUUGUGCCAGCGCAAACAAGGGGCCGUGAAAAGCCGGCACCACGGGCAGAGCGGAGGCUGCUUCUCUCGGCAGCUGCGCUAGCUCGGGCUGUCCUCAAACGCUGGUGGGACUCCUGCUCCAUGUAAACUUCGUGCAACCACAGCAAGCAUAAAACCCCGUGAGACAGUUAUUCAGACUCUCCUGAAGUUCUGCAUGGAUCCAGCCCACGUUUUGAAAAUCUGGAUCAGCUAUCCCUUGCGACUACAGUUUUUAAGGGAGUCAGUUUUUGUUUUUGAAGGGAGGCGCGAGGCCAAAAGGCAAGGUCAGAGACACUGAGAGACGGGGCUGGGGGUGGACAGGGUAGAGGAGGAUGGGUGUGGAGUGAAGGUGUCACUCUGACAUUUUCUCAGUGGCAAUGCCAGCCUAAAGCAUUCCCAGCUUCUGCUGCAGUCACGGUCUCCCCACCAUCCCUGCGGUCACUUUGUCACCCCUGAUUUGUGCCAGGAGGCCGUGCAAGAGGAAUUGAAGCAAAGAGCCCGUCAGCCCAGGGAAAGACUGUCCAGUAAAUGGCACAAGUGUGCUAGCAGGGUCCAUCAGUCCCUGCGCAAGCUGUUCCUGCUGCCUUCUGGCCGUGGUGUGUUCCUCCUCGUACCCCGCUCUGCUUAAUUUCUGUGCGCUGCAUGCUUUCUAAAUACUCACCCGGCUCUGUCUGGAGGAGAGUGCUUCACAGGAGAAUGGGCAUAGGACACCAAGUCAUCUCAUGCUGAGCACCACCAAGUCAUGACACCCUUGGACAAUCAAUCAACUGAUUUUGUGUUAUUUAUGUUGCCCUAAAGGCUACAUUUCAGGACUUGAAAUGUAUGGGUUAGAAAAGCUGACAACAACUCAUUCUGCUCAGGCUGUUUAAUAACGCUGCACAGGCCUUGUUUGAAAAGCUUACUUUCAAGAGAGGGAAUAUAUCCAACUUGCAGACCAGCUUCCUCCUCAAUUACAGUGAACAAAAAGUCUUCAAAAUAUUUAGAAUCUGAUUUAAGCUAACAAAGUCAAGGAAAUAGGAGUUAAAACUCAAACUCUUGCUUGACACACUAUUUGUAGUUCAUCCAAUGGUAAUGAGCCAGAUUCUCGCCUAGUAUAAGUGGGCAUAAAUCCACUAAAGCCAUGCAAGAAUGUUGAUUUAUGCUUGCUACAAAUCUGGCCUUUAUUGCAGUACUUCACUGUAAGCUCCAAUCCUCUUUGCACUGCUCAUUUAUUGGAACGGAAUUAGAUUUACCAAGGUAUGCUCGGACAAAAUGGAUUGCUUUUCCCUUAAAUAUUUUGUACCAGGAAUAAAAAGGUAGUCUAUUUCAACAUAAAACUAUUAAUAAGAUAUUCUUGCUGAAGGAAAUUCCAAAACAAUAAUAUCAUUUGUUACAAUGCCACGAGUUAUUUGUUUCUCAAGGUUAUAUCAAAUGAGUAUGAGAUGCUCUACAAAUUACAAGCUCCUUCUAGGAAAUCUGAGAUAAAUCUGAAGAAUAAAGGUUGAAACAAAUUUAACUUAAAUGCAAUUGCAUAAAAGCUUAAAUAUAGGCAGCUGAAUUAUUUGAUGAAAGUCUGUUGGAAUGAAUAUGCCCUCAUGUUUGCUUGACUGAAACUACAUUCCUCCAGAUGACCUCACUUUAUUGCCAAGUCCCUUCAAUGGGGCUCCACUCCUUCACUGAGGCUGAGCAUCGUGCAGGAUGCUGGAUGCAAGAAGAUAAUCAAGAAUUUAUUUUAUUAGUUUUAAAUAUAACACUCUCCAUUUUAGACUGUAUUAACUACAUGAUAAAUAUAGCUUAUCACUGUAAAGAGCCAUGCUGAGAAAACUGCAUGUGAGAUUACUCUACUGUAAAGUGCUCAAUAUGGGGGCUACACUCAGAAGACGGAGCUCACGUAGGAGGCAGCAGCCUGUUUGCUAAAUUCUGUUUCACAUAGGGAACAUCUUAUACUGGUGUUUUCAGCCUGCACUAGCUUUUGAUUAGUUUCCCGAUGAUGUCUGAAGUGGUGAGUUUUCACUGAAUUGUUUACAGCCUGGCCACCAGGCAAAGACUUCUCUAACGUGAGAGGACAGCCAUAGGGAUUUGCCAUCGAAACAUUAAGGUUGGUAUGAAUAAGGUGUGAAUGGCAACGUAUGAGUGUGAAUUCAUCAGGAAACAACAAGAAAGGAUAAAGGAACGGCAUGUGCAGGCACGCCGGGAUCAGGAGGUCAUUGAGAUCACAGCACACUGUGCGCAACUUCUCAGGACACUCAGAUCUGGAAAACCAAGAGCUGUCUAAGACAAAGCAUCAGGGCCCUGAGGGCACUAAUAGUCUUAAUGGCCCCGGUAAGUCUCAUCUGGGACCCCCACCCAUGCCCCCUGCCCAGGGGCUCCAUUUAAACCCAGGUGCGGGCACCUACUCCUGCUGUGAGCUGUGCUAUAGGUAUGGCUUUGUCUCCAGCCCUGUCUCCUGGAUGGACCUCAGACCACAUUGGAGGUAGCUUGUCUCCAGCCCUGUCUCCUGGAUGGAUGGACUUCAGACCUAUGCUGGGGUUACCUUUGUCUCCAGUCGUGUCUCCUGGACGGACCUCAGACCUACGCUGGAGGUAGCCUGUCUCCAGUCCUGUCUCCUGGAUGGACCGCAGACCUACUCUGGAGGUAGCUUGUCUCCAGCCCCAUCUCCUAGAUGGGUGGACCUCAGACCUAUGUUGCAGCCUUGGUUCAAGUCUCAUCUCUGGUCCUGGUUCCUGCUGCUCCUGGAUGGACCCUGGACCUGAUUCAUUGCUUUGCCUUGUCCGGGACUGCUGCCGGUCCCUGUUGUCAGUACCCAGCUCUGCCUGCUGUGCUCAGGGACGGCACCCUGACAGUGAGGGCACUGCCUGUGCUCUGCAUGGAGCAGCCUGGCCAGACUACGUGGCCAUACACGUCUCCAGCCUUGUGCAUAUGAAAGAAUGAGCAAGUACUGUCUACAAGAGAAAGCAUGAGUGAAAUCAGUUUAAAAUAAAAUCAUCUUCCUCA